CUAGCGACUUCAGAGUUUGAUCCUGGCUCAGGAUGAACGCUAGCUACAGGCUUAACACAUGCAAGUCGAGGGGCAGCAUUAGGUAGCAAUACUGAGAUGGCGACCGGCGCACGGGUGCGUAACGCGUAUCCAACUUUCCCGUUACCCUGGGAUAGCCUUCCGAAAGGGAGAUUAAUACCGGAUGGUGUUGAAAAAUCGCAUGUUAUUUCAACUAAAGAUUUAUCGGUAACGGAUAGGGAUGCGUGACAUUAGGUAGAUGGCGGGGUAACGGCCCACCAUGCCCACGAUGUCUAGGGGUUCUGAGAGGAAGGUCCCCCACACUGGAACUGAGACACGGUCCAG
rnacentral:rRNA from 1 species